rnacentral:lncRNA from 10 species
CACUAUUGUUUGUGAGGUGUAUAAAUAUAACACUGAUACUGUGAAAGAGCUGCUGAAUAAAGCCGUGUCUCAUCUACCUGCUGUCUCCCAAGUGUUCUUCCAGCUCCCUGCCCCUCAUCAACCCACUCUCCUCAGACCUCAGCUGGGGCUUGAACCUGAUAAUUGGUGUAGUCAUCAGGAUGAGAUUUAGAAGUGGUGGUGCCCCUCUUGUGACAGCAUUUGGCAGUGUGCAGUUGGGCCAUCAAUAAAUCCAAGGUCCAAGGGCCGGAAUUGUCUGCCAAAUUCUUGGGAGUUAUUUGCUCAGGUUCUGAUUCCGAUUCUCCAAUGUUGCUGGUUGGGAGGCCGUACUUUAAGAGUGAAGACCGUGGAGUCCCGAGUCUGGGCACCGAUAGAAAAGAAUCACCUGAUUUCCUUGUCCGCAAUCCCUGGGAGACACUCUUCAGGGUCUGACUGAAUGGAAAAGGAAGCAGGGAAUCCGGUCCAACGUUAAUGUCACCGCCCUCACUGCCCUCUUCAAUUUGAACAUGGUAUUUCUGGCAGUAGCCACCAGAGGGUGCUAAAGAACCUCCUUGAAACGGCUGCAGAGCCCUGUGAGGUUACCAGACUGUUUCCACAAGACCUGUCCUGGGCUGGUCUUGGGGUUUGUGGGGAGGACAGUUUGUUCAGGAGUGGAUGAGGAACAGAAGGGCCCCGAGACCACAGGUUGUGUCAGAGACAGAGCUGAGGCCCUCGCUGGGACUACCACUCAGAGAUAAGCACAAGAAUCAGGCCAAGGAGGCAUCAUUUGGGAUCCUCAUUCCUCUUGCCCCCCUUUGAGGGCAAAGGGUGUUAGUAUACUUAAGGAUGUUGUCCACUUAAUAGAGAGAAAGGGCUAGAUCAGGGAUUUUCCCCUGGGGCUUCCAGCCCCACUCAAGUUAAGGGAUAUAUUGAGAUAUUUAUUUGAUCUUUAGAUUUCAAAGGGAGAGGCUGUUAUCCAGAUUUAAAAAAAAAAUGCUUGAAAAUAAAAUUGAUUGCCUGCCAUAAGAUAAGCAAUUUUUUCAAUAGUAGAAUAUGUGAUAAAAAUACACAUCUUUAGCCUUCAUUAACUUUUAUUAAAAAUUAUAACAAUUCAUAUUUGGCAUAGCCAUCAGUUGUACAUGUAAAGUAAUAAAUGAGAUCAUGGUAUUUGGAGUCGGUCUGUGGGAUUCAAAUAUCAGAACUGACAUUCAUUAGCUGGGUGAUACUGGGCAAAUUCAUUUACCUCUCUGAACCUUAGUUUCCUCAUCUAACCUCUUCUGAAUGGAUUUGGCCAAUGAUGGGAGUCAGGGGGAUGGAAAGCAUGAAUAGGAAAUUGUAAGGUGGGAGGAUGUAGAGGUAGAGACACUUAUUUCCUCCAAGCCCUGUUCACACUCAGUUCUGUUCAUGGCUGAUGACUUGCUCGAUUUGAUAAUGAAUUUAAUAAUGUCAGCACUCUCGGAUGCACAAUAGUAGUUAUAAAAAUGUGGUUAGGUCCUACUCUCUCCUAGAUAAUAUGGUAAAAAAAUUAUUUCCGGCCGGGCGCGGUGGCUCACGCCUGUAAUCCCAACACUUUGGGAGGCCUGGGCGAGUGGAUCACGAGGUCAGGAGAUCAAGACCAUCCUGGCUAACACGGUGAAAUCCCGUCUCUACAAAAAAAUACAAAAAAAUUAGCCGGCCGUGGUGGCGGG